rnacentral:sRNA from 1 species
GGAUGGGAGGGUGAUCUGGUGCAACAUCUCUUACCCCAUUGAUCACCAGAGUUGAUUCGGUUGAUCUGGCUGGCUAGGCAGGUGUCCUCUUCCUCACCUCCAUGUCCUUCCCUAAGCUAUGCACUUGGUCAAAGAGGAUGACUUCCCCAAUGGAGGAGGACCAUUCUUUGGUCAAGUGUAUACAAGUAGCUGAACUCCCCUGCUAGACUCUCCAAACAAGCUCUCAAGGGCCAAAGUAUCUUCCAUAAAACAUUAGUCCACAGAAAUUUUAUUGAAAACAGAAGCCAUGAUGGAUGGAUGGAGACAGAGAGAAGGGGGGUGGGGGGGUGGCAGGCAUAUUGU